UACGUAGGGGGCAAGCGUUGUUCGGAAUUACUGGGCGUAAAGGGCGCGUAGGCGGGUCGUCAAGUUGGGGGUGAAAGCCCGGGGCUCAACCUCGGAAUUGCCUUCAAAACUGACGACCUAGAGUAUGGCAGAGGUGUGUGGAACUCCGAGUGUAGAGGUGAAAUUCGUAGAUAUUCGGAAGAACACCAGUGGCGAAGGCGACACACUGGGCCAUUACUGACGCUGAGGUGCGAAAGCGUGGGGAGCAAACAGG
rnacentral:rRNA from 1 species